rnacentral:lncRNA from 1 species
GAAGUCAGGGACCAUUGUGAAGAUGGAAGAAUGCCCACAAAAUCCAGCUUGAAACCUGCUGGCUCUGAGGGUCCUGCUGGCUCAGCAGUGCUGGUAACCAAGAAGUAUCGCAGGCCCAGGAAAGUUACCCUUCUAUUUGCGGAGAGAUAUUGCCUAUCGGCCUGGACCAGCAGAUAACUCAGCACUCAUGAUCAGCUGUCAAGCUAUAACAGAGUGUUGAGGCAGUCCCUGAAACCACAGCGCCAUUUUGUAGGAACUGAGAAGCCAACCUCAAGGAAAUCACUCACCCCAAGAAGACUUUUGUUCGGAGCUGAUGUGUUUCUAGCCUGAUGGAGCCCCAGCUAUCCAAAAGAAGAGCUGUUAAGAUGAUUGGAACUUUGGUUUUUCCGAUUCACUCUCUUUUUUCUCUCCAGCCGUCUGCCUUAGACAGCAGGAGAAAAGGAAACACAGCCUCAGAGGUGGGGUCCUUCGGAAGGACUGACAGUGGGGUAGCUACCCUGCGGCUGAGAGCCUGAGUGGGGGCUGAGUGCCUUUGGCUCCUUGUCCAGAGCUCAGCUUUACCACAGAGGUUACCUGCUUACCAUCAACAUUGAAACUUGCCUCUUCCCCUGGGUGUAUUCUCCCUCUUUUGUGUACAGUUUGGUUCCUCCAAACUGCUCUCCCUGUGAAGAAAGCCGAUGGAAUUCAGGGAGCCUGGCCAGCCACCCAGGCCUUUAUAAAGGUCCUCGUACCACAGGAUGUAUGGGAGACCCAAUAAAGACUUUUGCAAAAUG